rnacentral:rRNA from 1 species
GCGGGAUUGACGGAUCCAGAGUUUGAUUCUGGCUCAGGACGAACGCUGGCGGCGUGCCUAAUACAUGCAAGUCGAACGCUUCUUUUUCCACCGGAGCUUGCUCCACCGGAAAAAGAGGAGUGGCGAACGGGUGAGUAACACGUGGGUAACCUGCCCAUUAGAAGGGGAUAACACUUGGAAACAGGUGCUAAUACCGUAUAACAAUCAAAACCGCAUGGUUUUGAUUUGAAAGGCGCUUUCGGGUGUCGCUGAUGGAUGGACCCGCGGUGCAUUAGCUAGUUGGUGAGGUAACGGCUCACCAAGGCCACGAUGCAUAGCCGACCUGAGAGGGUGAUCGGCCACAUUGGGACUGAGACACGGCCCAAACUCCUACGGGAGGCAGCAGUAGGGAAUCUUCGGCAAUGGACGAAAGUCUGACCGAGCAACGCCGCGUGAGUKAAGAAGGUUUUCGGAUCGUAAAACUCUGUUGUUAGAGAAGAACAAGGAUGAGAGUAACUGUUCAUCCCUUGACGGUAUCUAACCAGAAAGCCACGGCUAACUACGUGCCAGCAGCCGCGGUAAUACGUAGGUGGCAAGCGUUGUCCGGAUUUAUUGGGCGUAAAGCGAGCGCAGGCGGUUUCUUAAGUCUGAUGUGAAAGCCCCCGGCUCAACCGGGGAGGGUCAUUGGAAACUGGGAGACUUGAGUGCAGAAGAGGAGAGUGGAAUUCCAUGUGUAGCGGUGAAAUGCGUAGAUAUAUGGAGGAACACCAGUGGCGAAGGCGGCUCUCUGGUCUGUAACUGACGCUGAGGCUCGAAAGCGUGGGGAGCAAACAGGAUUAGAUACCCUGGUAGUCCACGCCGUAAACGAUGAGUGCUAAGUGUUGGAGGGUUUCCGCCCUUCAGUGCUGCAGCUAACGCAUUAAGCACUCCGCCUGGGGAGUACGACCGCAAGUUGAAAACUCAAAGGAAUUGACGGGGGCCCGCACAAGCGGUGGAGCAUGUGGUUUAAUUCGAAGCAACGCGAAGAACCUUACCAGGUCUUGACAUCCUUUGACCACUCUGGUG